GCCCCAUCUACACUAGGGGGACUUACCCUCCACCUGGGUAUUUCCUCCUAGCUGAUGGUGGUUACCCAUGUCUAGAGGAACCCCUGGCCCUUAUCACACCAUAUAAGAGGCCAGUGAGAGGCAUGGCAGAGCAACGGUUUAAUUAUCAUCAUUCCAGAGGUCGCACAAUCAUUGAGCGUUCCUUUGGAAUGAUGAAAACCCGCUUCAGGUGCAUCUUUUUAGAAGCACUUCCAGUACAUCCAGUGUUUGUCCCUAAGGUGGUGACGGCGUGUGUAAUUUUACACAACAUUUGUGUUGGUGUUGGGGAUGAGCUGGAAGAGGCUGUGGAGGACAAUGACAACCAGCUACCUCUGGAGCGCGAUGGUGGGGAGAGCCGGAGUGGAGCUGCUUGGCGAGCCGCGCUGACCAACGAGGUGUCUGCAUUUCAUGAGGCACCUCUGGAUCUCGAAUAUUUUUCCCAGUCUUGAAGCAGCUGUAGCUGAUGGUCGCUUCUUGUUGUUGGUCUUGUUGUAUAUAGUUGUAGAUAUGAGAAUGUUAUGAGAAUGAUGUUUGAAUGGUUUUGCUUCAUGUAAAUAGUU
rnacentral:lncRNA from 1 species